rnacentral:rRNA from 1 species
UACGAAGGGGCUAGCGUUGUUCGGAUUUACUGGGCGUAAAGCGCACGUAGGCGGUUUGUUAAGUCAGGGUGAAAUCCCGGAGCUCAACUCCGGAACUGCCUUUGAUACUGGCAAGCUAGAGUCCGGAAGAGGUAAGUGGAACUCCUAGUGUAGAGGUGGAAUUCGUAGAUAUUAGGAAGAACACCAGUGGCGAAGGCGGCUUACUGGUCCGGAACUGACGCUGAGGUGCGAAAGCGUGGGGAGCAAACAGG